CUCUUGCGUUUCUAGAGCCAUUACUGAAACGGGAGAAAGAGUGUGUUUCCGUGGGACCGUUGCUAGGAAUCAAGGUGCCGGCAUCCAUUUGAUAUUCUGAGAGCCUGAGAUGGCGCUGUUGGGCUCAGAGGUUCACCAAGGAAUGAACAAUGCGGCGCUGGAUGUAUCUUCUCUACAGAAACUGGCCCACUGUUUUCUGUUCUGGCCUCGCAACCAGAAACCAACCAAAUGGUACCAACCAACAAACACCAAGACGCACGGACCGCCAGUUGGAAUGUAGGACGAGCCUUUAUUCCUGGCC
rnacentral:lncRNA from 1 species